CUCUGAGAGUUCUGAUUUCUUCUAAUGGCUUUGUGGAAUGGAUCAAUAAGGAUAACCUCAAAGAAUUUGUAUGUGGAAUCUUCACCAACCCAGUAAAAAUUUAGAA